rnacentral:rRNA from 1 species
UACGUAGGGGGCAAGCGUUGCCCGGAUUUAUUGGGCGUAAAGAGCGCGUAGGCGGCCAGGCAGGUCCGUUGUGAAAACUCGAGGCUCAACCUCGAGACGCCGAUGGAAACCGUCUGGCUAGAGUCCGGAAGAGGAGAGUGGAAUUCCCGGUGUAGCGGUGAAAUGCGCAGAUAUCGGGAAGAACACCGGUGGCGAAGGCGGCUCUCUGGGACGGUACUGACGCUGAGACGCGAAAGCGUGGGGAGCGAACAGG